UACGGAGGGAGCUAGCGUUGUUCGGAAUUACUGGGCGUAAAGGGCGCGUAGGCGGCCAACUAAGUCAGACGUGAAAUCCCUCGGCUCAACCGGGGAACUGCGUCUGAUACUGGAUGGCUUGAAUUCGGGAGAGGGAUGCGGAAUUCCAGGUGUAGCGGUGAAAUGCGUAGAUAUCUGGAGGAACACCGGUGGCGAAGGCGGCAUCCUGGACCGAGAUUGACGCUGAUGCGCGAAAGCCAGGGGAGCAAACGGG
rnacentral:rRNA from 1 species